GUUUGGUUUGCCAUCACUUUUUGUGACUUUUCUGACAUCUGCAAGUGUCGGAAGUGUGACCUGAAACAUUUAAGGACACUUCUGCCUGAACCAUGGGCAGAUGUUUAGACUCCAAGAUACAGAGGAGGAGGGUCUUGGAGGUUUCUUAGUAUAAGUUCCUCCCUGUGGUACUUGCAGUUCCUACAAGGGGCUGUCAGAGAAACAAGCCGGAGAAGAGCAAGACAUGGUCCUGGUGCAUGAAAGGAGCCUAAGAAAGAAGAGUGAAAGCUGCACGUGUGUGAGUAUCUAGCAGAACAUCUAGAAAAUGCACACCAACCUCCAGCAGCAGAAAACAGUCUACCUCCAGAAAGCCAUAAAAGAGAAAAGAAUGUUGUACCAAACUAAGCAAAUGAAGCAUGAAAUGAAAAGCCGGUUGAGCUGGGAGGUAUAAAGAAUGGAAAGGAAGCAGCUACCACCCCUGGUAACCCCAUCAAUCCGGAGAAGCUUCGCAGAGUUACACUGUGCUCUGUCGGAGGAAGUCUAAAAUAACACAUGGGUGUCUCGGCCUUGGCACAGCUAAACCCUGGAACAUUGAACUGAAGUCAUAACAAUGGGUAAUAUUUUAAUAUAAUGAAAAAUUAUCAUUAACUUUUCUCGACAGGAAGGAAAUGAAUUUUCCUCAUUGUACACAUUCCGAGAAAAAUGAGGCUAAGACUAUUUCAAAGGAUGUUCUACCUAAUUCGAAUGGGCUUUAAGUGCCAUCUUCACAAUAGCGCCAGAGUCUGGUGUCAGCAAACUGAACAAAUAGAGCUACAGGGAGCGAAUGGGGCUGGGUGCCUCUCCAAAACAUAUGCAGAUGAACUUGAGAUUUCAGAGGACGGUUAAUCCUACACAGCAGUCAAGUGCCUUCCCAGGGGUAUGUCUCAGAUCUCAGAGCAUCCUGGCAGGCAUCCACUGUGCCAUAUGCUUUCGGGAAGUCUGGAUGCUGAAUGUGGUGGCUGUGGGGAAUUGAGCCUUAUUGCUUCAUAAGAUUCCUGGUGGUAGAACUAUUCUGAACAAGAACACGUCCGUCCCCAUAGGUGUGCUCCAAGAAUCACAGAAUAAGAAGGGACUUCGGAGAGAGCCUCACACAGUUGGGCAAUGGGAGCCCAGAGAGGCAAGGAAGGCUCCUUGCCCAAAGUCUUGUACAUCUGAAUCUGCAACUCCUGACUAUUUUUGAGUCUUAUGCUCCAGGCUAAAACUUGUGACUUUAAGUGUGAUGUUCUCGGUGAUGAUUAAUCUAGGAUGUUUCUGUUGUUUUCUUACCGUCAAAGAAUUAACAUCAAAAGGAAAGGAAGGAAGAAAUGUAGAAGUGAAGGCAAGAAGGAAGGAAGGAGGAAAGGAAGGAAGGAAAAUAUAGGCUUUGGGUAAAAAUAAGUUUCUACUCAACACUGACAAAGGUACAGGUUUUGGACAUUGGUUUCCUAAUCUGUAAAUGAGGAAUAGUCAUCACAUCGCUGUCCUGGCUGGUUUUGUGUGUCAACUUGACACAAGCUGGAGUUAUCACAGAGAAAGGAAAGAAAAUGCCUCCAUGAGAUCUAGCUGUAAAUGGAUUAGUGAUCAAGAGUGGGAGGGCCCAGUGUGGGUGGUGCCAUCCCUGGACUGGUGGUCCUGGGUUCUACAAGAAAACAAGCUGAGCAAGCCAGGGGAAGCAAGCCAGGGGAACAUCCCUCCACGGCUCUGCAUCAGCUCCUGCUUCCUGCCCUGUGUGAGUUCCAGUCCUGACUUCCUUUGGUGACGAACAGCAAUGUGAUAGUAUAAGCUGAAUAAACCCUUUCCUCCCCAAC
rnacentral:lncRNA from 1 species